UACGUAGGGGGCAAGCGUUGUCCGGAUUUAUUGGGCGUAAAGAGCGUGUAGGCGGCCAUACAGGUCAGCUGUGAAAACUCGAGGCUCAACCUCGAGACGUCGGUUGAAACCAUCUGGCUAGAGUCCGGAAGAGGAGUGUGGAAUUCCCGGUGUAGCGGUGAAAUGCGCAGAUAUCGGGAAGAACACCCGAGGCGAAGGCGGCACUCUGGGACGGUACUGACGCUGAGACGCGAAAGCGUGGGGAGCGAACAGG
rnacentral:rRNA from 1 species